GGCGGAGCCAAGACUUUCAUCAAAUGGCUGGGUUCCAAGCUCAGUGUUUAUCGUGCCUUUAAUACGCAGCCCCACGGAUGGAAAAGCAUUAACACACACACACACUCCAGUGAAAGAAAAGCUAUUUUUCACCCCAGAUUACAUUUCCUUUUACUGAAAUCUCCAGACUCUUCUGCUAGAACGCCCAGGUAUUCAGUCUAUUAGCAUCCUCACUGGGGAAAAAGACGAUUAGAAGCAGAAAGUGGAAAAAAAAGCCAGGAAAAUUCCCACUCCUCCCCUCUGCUUUGAACGCCCACUACGGUUCCCUCCACUUGCUUUACUUAUUCCUUCGCGCUUGUUAGGAAAACCAUCCGCGGCUUGCCUAUUGUCGGCACUAACGAAUCCUCGCCCGCAGGGAGCCCGCUGCAGCGCACCCGGCGCUGGAGAUGCUGGCAGACCCCUGAAGGCGAGCGGGGAGGGAAGAGGCCGCCGCGGGGAAAAGGGGGCGGAGACUCCUCGGCGGAACUUUCCACUAGCGCGCUUUUCUUGUGUCUCCAGAAAGAAAACAGAAGUCAGGGAGGAAUUCAGUGACAAUUCAGCCAAACACCAAGGCAGUCACAACAUAAUAGGCGCCGGAAGAAGGUGGGAUGGAGAGCCCUCCCCGCGCGGAGGCCCCAGUGCGCGCCCACACAGCCUCUUCGAGAGCCGCGCUCAGAGCGCCGCGCCGGCGCCAGUUUGAGCACUCCAGAGAAUUAGAGAAAUCGAAAGUGUCCUCCGCGGGCCGCUAUUUAGUCUCCGACCCUUGCCUUGUUCUGCUUUUGGCAUUUGUCGAGUUUGUGCUUACGUUCCUUCCGGAGGUGCAAUUGCAGCCUGAGAAGAAGGGCCACGCAGACGUUCAGUUAAAGGAACUGGUUACCUUUGGCCGCGGCCUGGGCUCAGCCCGCCCCGCCAGGACCGGCUUGUUCCCAUCACAGAUGUUCAGUCAACUUAAAGUCGGAGCAGAGAGAUGCACAUUCAUUUGCCUCCCUAAAGGGUCAUCUUCUUUGAGGGGGAAAAAAGGCUCUGCUGAGGAACCCUUAAAACAAAUUAUAGUCACAGUGCCAGAAGAUAUGAUCAUAGCUGCAAAAGCAAAUAUCCAGAAGCAUCUGCAGCACUGGCUCCAUCUAGGAACUCAAAGCCACACAUUUCCUGGAAGUCUGCAUUCUGGCUUUUCUUCUCUGUCCUAUUGGUGUCAUCCUCCCGGGACUCCGCUGGAGACAACAUCAGCCACAAUACCUGAUGCUGAGUUGAAACUCAGUCUUUGCUGCUUUUCUGAGUUGCCAAAGGCCAUUUCUCAUUAGGAAGGGGAAUUACCCAUCCCUGGAAAAUUCCUCAAUCCUCUAGACCUUUUCUAUCCCCACAUUCCGCAAAGGAUUUGGUAUUCCAUUUUGCUUAUUCUCAGGAAAAGCCUUAAGUUUUUUUUCUUGAUAAAGCACUUUCCUCAACACAAAUGCCUCUCAUCUCACGGAAAGUGCUUCCCUCCAGUGCACAGCUGGUAAGAACCAGUCUCUCAUCCCAGGCAGCAAGGGCCUCACCAACCCUGGCCUGGCCUUCUGGCCAAAGAAGGCAAACAGAAUAUUCAAUAAUUUUUUUCUCCACAUCAGGGAUUUUUCACAGAAAUGUAUCCCUUGUGGGUGGCGGGCAGAACAAGCCAGGUGAGGGUGGCAUUGCCUCCUGGUCCCUUGGGGUGUUCCAAAGUCCAAGCAGAAAUGAACUCACACCUUCUGCUGCCAUCUUCCAAAACUCUGCUCUAUAACUUCCCCGGCUAAUUUUUGGACAGUGGAGAAACAUUUCCCACAAAGAAGCAACUGUUUUAGAGACUGCACUCUAAUCCACGGACAGAACAGAUCACAAAACACACACAAUAAAUUUACCUGACUGCACA
rnacentral:lncRNA from 1 species